rnacentral:rRNA from 1 species
GUGAGGAAUAUUGCACAAUGGGCGCAAGCCUGAUGCAGCAACGCCGCGUGAGGGAUGAAGGCCUUCGGGUUGUAAACCUCUUUUCUGAGGGAAGAGAAAGGACGGUACCUCAGGAAUAAGUCUCGGCUAACUACGUGCCAGCAGCCGCGGUAAAACGUAGGAGGCGAACGUUAUCCGGAAUUACUGGGCGUAAAGCGCACGCAGGCGGCGCUGUAAGUCCGACGUGAAAGCUCCUGGCUUAACUGGGAGAGGUCGUUGGAUACUGCAGCGCUUGAGGUUGGGAGAGGAAAGUGGAAUUCCCGGUGUAGUGGUGGAAUGCGUAGAUAUCGGGAGGAACUCCAGUGGCGAAAGCGACUUUCUGGCCUACACCUGACGCUGAGGUGCGAAAGCGUGGGGAGCGAACAGGAUUAGAUACCCCUGUAGUCC